UACGAAGGGGGCUAACGUUGCUCGGAAUUACUGGGCGUAAAGCGCGUGUAGGCGGGCCGGGAAGUCGGGCGUGAAAUCCCUGGGCUCAACCCAGGAACUGCACUCGAAACUUCCGGUCUAGAGUGGUGGAGAGGGAAGUGGAAUUCCUGGUGUAGAGGUGAAAUUCGUAGAUAUUCGCAAGAACACCAGUGGCGAAGGCGGCUCACUGGCCCGGUACUGACGCUGAGGUGCGAAAGCGUGGGGAGCAAACAGG
rnacentral:rRNA from 1 species